GCAGGGGUCUCAAGCUUGUUAGAAUGGGCUUGCUGGAUUAUUGCAGUGGUUGACUUAUGACUCAGAGAAUGAUAGCACAGUUUUGCACAUGCUGUUUUGAAAGUUGUAAUUCUUCAUGCUUCCAGUCUGAGUGCUCAGACUGAAAACAAGUUGACAGUGUUUUCAAACCACCUCAACUCCCAUUGAUCCAACCUUUGAAAAACAGACGCAGUUUGUUUCCACAAUGGGAGAGAUGGAAUUGGUUCACAGCUGGCAAAAAUAUUAGUAAAACUACAAAGCAGACUGAAUAGAAGUUAUGGGACCUCAACUGUUUGCCUCAUAAACUACAGCAAAGACUGAGGGACGGCCUUGCAAUUCAUCUCAUAUUCUAGGCAGUGUGAAAGGAGAUAUGUUGACUUCAGUUCCUGUUUUUAAGAAUUUCAGGCAAAGCAGGAAAACAUGAGAGCGGAACAUGGGUACUGAUGGCAUUACUGUCCUAUUCCACUGGUGUGCUUGAGCAUGUGUUUUUAUGGUGAAGGGUUAGGUAUGGUGGCAGCUUUGGUUGAGCACAGGGAGGAAACUGCACACAAGAGGAAAUUGCAAAGUUUAUAGUAAGUGGCAUAAACACUGAGCUACUUCCUGAAAAGGAAAAUGGAGACAGUCACCUCCCCUUUGCCUGGUUCCACUUUCUUUGGUUUCAUUCCAUACUUCUUCAAAAUAUGGAGAGCAGGCUUUCCCAUCAAUGGCUGGUAAUCAACUGGUUAGACUAAGGGCUCCCUCUAUAGUCAGUAGACAAUGGUGAGUAUUUGCAGAGAACCUCUCUUUUUCUUUAGCCAUUCCACCUUAGGCUAGAAUGGAUCACCAUAUGGAGAAAUCUCUCCUUAGUGAUAGAUAGAGCCUAGACAGAGUUCAAACAGCUGACUUUUGCAUUGAUAAAAGUGGCUAGAUAGUCCAAUCAAAUGUUUCCAAUAAAUUGAAUGAAAUCUUAAGGGCUUUUGGUAAC
rnacentral:lncRNA from 1 species